AUGCAGGAGGUUAGUAGCCAAUUAGCUACUGCUGGCGCUAUUGACGGGCACAAUUGGUUGUACCCUGUAGUCUAUGGAGUUAUCGACUCGGAAACUACUGAAAGUUGGGUGUGGUUUAUGGAGAAGCUUCGUGAAACUAUUGGCUCUCCCCCCGGUCUAGCUAUAUGUUCAGAUGCAGGAAAAGGGAUUGACACUGCAAUCGAACAGGUAUUCGGGUAUGCUGAACAUAGAGAAUGCAUGUGACACUUGGUUCUGAACUUCAAGAAAAUAUUCCAUGGUAAAGUUUUUGAUGAUCAUUUGUGGUCAGCUGCUUAUUCAUGGACUCCUCGAGGGUUUGACUAUCACAUGGCAGCCAUAGAGGAGAAAAUGGCUGCUGCAAUAGCAUACUUAAACAAGUACCACAACAGGCUAUGGUCAAGGAGCAAAUAUUCAACCUCCUCAAAAGUGGAUUAUGUGACAAAUAAUUUGGCCGAGUGUUUCAACAACUGGAUCUGCAAGCACAAAGGUUUAAUGUUGUUCCAGCUCAUGGACAAGAUAAGGAGAAAGAUUACGGUUAAGUUUGAGAAGAGGAGAGCUAGAAAAUUUCAAGGUCGGCGUAUACUUCCAAGUGUCAUGAAGGAGUUGAAUGACAUAAGGAGGCUGGACAUUGAAUAUGAGAGAAUAGAUGACAUGAUUGCAGAGGUGAGUGAGAAGGGUGAUAAGGUUUUUGGGGAGCGCUCAGCGCGACUACUGACUACUUCAUCACGGACGCCCCGGACUCCGACGACUACUUCCCCGACGACAACUUCUUCCCCGACGUCGACAACCUUCUCGACGACAUGGCUGGCGAGGACACCGACCCCAAGUCCAGUGCUACUGCUCCUGCUGUCCCGUACGUGUUCUUGCUCUUUUUCUGUUAGAUGUCCUCUCGCAGUUCUUUGCUCUAGUGUCUGUCCUACAUAUGUUAGGUUCUACGCCAUAUAUGCAACCUGUUCUACUAUCUGCUUUAGACAUGUUUAG
rnacentral:rRNA from 1 species